GUGCCAGCCGCCGCGGUAAUACGGAGGGGGUUAGCGUUGUUCGGAAUUACUGGGCGUAAAGCGCACGUAGGCGGAUCAGAAAGUUGGGGGUGAAAUCCCGGGGCUCAACCCCGGAACUGCCUCCAAAACUACUGGUCUAGAGUUCGAGAGAGGUGAGUGGAAUUCCGAGUGUAGAGGUGAAAUUCGUAGAUAUUCGGAGGAACACCAGUGGCGAAGGCGGCUCACUAGCUCGAUACUGACGCUGAGGUGCGAAAGUGUGGAGAGCAAACAGGAUUAGAUACCCUGGUGUCC
rnacentral:rRNA from 1 species